rnacentral:rRNA from 1 species
UACGAAGGGAGCUAGCGUUGUCCGGAAUCAUUGGGCGUAAAGAGCGCGUAGGCGGCCAGAUAAGUCCGGUGUGAAAGUCACAGGCUCAACCUGUGAAUGCCGCUGGAAACUGUCUGGCUAGAGUCCGGAGGGCGAGUGGAAUUCCUGGUGUAGCGGUGAAAUGCGUAGAUAUCGGAGGAACACCAGUGGCGAAGGCGAGUCUCUGGAUGAUGCUGACGCUGAGCGCGAAGCCAGGGAGCAACAGG